GUCACCAUGGCCGAGUGGUUAAGGCGAGAGACUUGAAAUCUCUUGGGGUAUCCCCGCGCAGGUUCGAACCCUGCUGGUGACG